CACCCUUUCUAAGUAAACAUUUGAAACAUCUCUAUUGAAUUAAUGAAUUUACAAAAUAGAGUCAAAGAAAUCUGAGCCUAACUUUAAAAAUAAUGCUUAAUAUAUUCUAUGGAGGUGAAAAAUACAGGAAAUAUAGUAGGGAAAAAAUAAAAAUGACAAAGACAUUAACCAGGAUGAGGGAUUAAAACAGUAAAUAAAUAUGUAUGGUGUUGACCUUGAUAGUUCUGUUUCUCCAGAGAUUCUAGAUCUGGAAAAAAAUAAUAUCUCUUCCUUCGCAACAUGAAGAGGAUUUUCACUGACCACAUUGGGCAAUUUGAGAAGUAAUAAUGUUUAUUAUUGGAAGAUACUAAGGAAGCAGGUUUUUUUUCUAAUUUAGUUUUCUAUUAUUUAUUCAUUUGUUUCCUAGUUUUCAUUUUUCUUUUCUUUUCUUUUUUUGCCAUAAUAAACCAUAAACAAAAGCAUUUUGGAAAUGGAAGGAAAGAAAUUAUUUAGGUGUAUAUGUCUGUUUCAUAGCCCAUCAUCAAAAGAACCAAGGCAGGGACUGAACCAUAGACCAUAGAGGAGUGUGCUCACUGGCUUGCUUCCUCUAUCUCUUUUCAGUUGCUUUUUCCAUAUAGUCCAGGCAUAUCUGCCCAGGAUAGCACAGUGCAUAUUGUUCUGUCCUCCAUCAAAUACCAAUUAAUAAAAAUGUCUACACACUCACACAGACCAAUCUGAUGGAACUAACUCCUCAGCUGAGGUUCUGUCUUUCCAUGUCUCUAGUUUGUGUCAAAUUGACAAAAACUAACCAGCACAGUUGAUACUUUUAAAACUGGCAAAUAAGAGCAAUAAGAGUAAAUCAAUACAAUAUUAUACUCAGGCUGUGUUGUAUAAUCCAGUCACUGAGUGAAUAGGUCACAGAAGAAUAAUUCUUAAUGAAAGGUUCUAGCUAACUAAUGAAGACAGAGUGUAUUGUGAGUAUUGUUAUUUUGUAACUUCUACAAGGUAACUAAGAGAGAAAUUCAACAUAAAUAAACUUGCAGCCUGACACCAUGAUGAACACACAUCACUAACAUCUGUGACACAUCGAUGGACACUUGUCACCGUCAUCUGUGACACCUGAUGGACACAUAUCACCAUCAUUUGUGACAUCCUGAUGGACACAGAGGACCUCCCUUUUUGACAUCCUGAUGGACACACAUCACCAUUGUAUGUGACACCCUGAUGGAUUCACAUCACCAUUGUACGUGACACUGUGAGAAAACACACAUCACCAUCAGCUGUGACCUCCUGAUGGACAGACAUCACCAUGUGUGAGAUAUUUCAGCUAAUGAUGGAUCAUACCAUCUAUACUAUUAUCUACCUAUUUAUAAAAUUAGUAUAUUAUAUAGUAUAUUAAAAAGCCUAUGUGUAUGAAAUAUAUAAAACAAAAUAUAAAAUGAGAAAUCUGUCAAAACAAAUAGGGAAAAUAUAAGAGCAUAUAAAAUUAUGUAGAGGGAAGAACUCAAUCCAAUGAAAAGCUAAAAUGAAACAGGAAAUCUAUGGAAAAUGAUCCAUUUUUAUUUUUAAAAGUAUACAGUGAAAUAUUGAGUUAACAAUCAUCAUCACUAAAAUUAAUAUUCAGUCAUUUUUAGUAAUGAAACAAUAUAGCUUUACAGGAUUAAUUUUUUCUGUAGAAGAGAAAAAUAUUAUUAAUUACAAACUAAGUCUUAAUUAAUUAAUAACCAAAAUCUGUCAUUGAAGACUCUGAAAUUUAAACCUUUUUUUGGAAUUCGAUGAUACGAGGAAUCACUGUUAAUCAUAUUCCAUAUAAUAAAACUGUAUCUGCUUAUGCUGAAGGAAUUUUUAAAAUGCUUUUUUAUUUUUCUUUGUGUAUAUAGAUGUUUUGCCUAUAUGUAAGUCUGUGUAACGUUUAUAUACCUGGUACCCAUGAAGGACAGAGGAGGGAGGGCUCUGGCUCUCCUAAAAGCAGAGUUAUGGAUGUUGUGAGCUGCCACGUGCUGGGAAUUAAAGAGCAGCCAGUUUUUUUUACUUACCAAGACAUGUCUCCAGCCUCAUGAAAAAUACUUUUUAUCACUGAAUUUGUAUUUUAUCAUUAGCAACAUACACUGAAACAUGGAAAUUACAAGUUUACCUUCCAUGAUGUAAGGUGCAGUGAUGUUAUCCUGGUUCCAUAGACUCCAAGUGUGAUGGAGGAAGACCAGUGAUAUUGCAGUGUGUUUAUUGGGUGAGAGAUUCUUUCUCUGCAGCCUGGAAUGAAGCCUCCUAUAUAUUCCCAGAUUUGCCUGACACCUCACUCACAUGCCAGUCUGGAAAUGCCACUCUUGCUGAUUUGGUUUUGAAAUACUGAUUUAAGACAUUAUGUUCACUCCUUAAAAGGAUGGAUUGAUGGAUUCAUUCAAAGUUCAAAAAAAUGUUCUAAAAACAAAUGAUCCAUACAUAUCAUUUGAAAUAAAGAUACAUAUGUAUUAGAAAAAACAAGCCUAUUAUUUAUUUAACAUCACUUUAUUUUUCUCUCAGAACCAUUUCUUCAAUUUAGAUAGUUGCUUGGCUAUUUAGAGUCAAAUAUUCUUUGCAUUUUUAUUUUUCAACUUUGUCUUAAACAGAAUGCAAAUUUUGUUAGGGGAUUUUAUUUCCUAGGAUAAAUUUAUGAUAAAAUAUAUAUGUGUGUGUAUGUAUACAAUUGAUGCAUGGUUGGAACUGCAUACUGUGGCUGAAUUUAUAUCAAAUAAGUAGGUAAUUUUAUGAUCAUUAAUAUUGGUUGUAGCUAUGCAAGCCAAGACAAUGAUAUGGGUAAUUGAAUCUCAUGCUUCAAAGCACAAAGUGAUUGCUAUGAAGAAGUCAGAGGAAAAUGUCUUGCCCAAAUGUAGAACA
rnacentral:lncRNA from 1 species